CACUUAGUACUCAAGAAGACCACUCAAGCGAAAGCUCAAGUAAUGAUGACUUUGAACUCUUAACAAUAAUGCUUAAAAAGUUCAUGAAACAAGAAUAAAAAAAUAAAAAAAAACUUAAAAAGAACACAACUACUUGUUAUGAAUGCAAAAAGCCGGGGUACUCCAAAGAUGAGUAAAAACUGAAAAAAAAGUUGCCAAAGAAG
rnacentral:lncRNA from 1 species